rnacentral:lncRNA from 1 species
CAGAAAGUCACAUGCUUUAUAAUGCAGCUCUCUUCAUGACUGUGUACCAAGGUAAGAAAUUCACGAAGUGCUUGAACAGGAGUGGAGUUUUGGUGGCAGCCAGUGAGGAGACUCUGUGUGGAUUUCCUGGAGAACUUGGAUGGGAGAGCAUGAAGCCAGAGAGAAGGAUGAGAAAGUUGGACAUUGCCUGUAAUAUUUUGCACUCUCACAGUCUGUAGGAAAUUCCAAGAGGCUAUGGAAACACCUCUUACUUAGCUACUGCUGACUGGAAAUCUGGUACCCCCACAAAGUGCUCUGAGGUGCUCAGCAGGGGAAAAAAGCCCUCUAAAAUCAAGGUAUGUUGUUCUUGGGAUUAUUUCCUAUUUUUUAGUAGAAGACUCUUCUUGAAUGUUCAUUUUAAGGCAGCGCUGGAGAAAAAUCAGUAAAUAAACUAGCCAUCAGUGAGUUCUUCCACUCUAUCAUUUUAGGGAAAGACCUCAAUAUUAUAUAGAUUAGGGUUUUUGGUGUGUUUGGCUUUGGGGUCAUCCUCUUUGACGUCAUCAAGGUCAUUGUGUUAUUCCACUAACUUUGGGGCUUGGUGGUAUGUGUUCUGGCUGGCUCUGUGACUUCCUGCCUAGCUCACCUUUGCUAGUGCUCUAGGCUUUAUCUCUGUUGUCUGCCUUAGCCUCUGCUAUGCAGGGCAGUGGGGGCAGGUGGAAGGUCAUGAAUUAGUACACAGAGAUUUAUGUCAGAGGUUCAGCUCUUACUGUACUGUUUUGUUGGGAGAGUGGUGUAAAGUGAGGACUGAUCCCCCCUCUACUCUCUUGGGAAAUUGAGUCUUACUACCUUUAUCCUCAGUGUACUUGCUUUUGCAUGUUUGAAAAAGAGCAUUUUGUAAUGGAUGGAAAUAUACGAGUGUGUGCUUUUAUAUUACUUUUGUUGUUGAGACCUCUCUCAAUCUUAUUUCUGUUAUCUGUAAAAUAGGAAUAACACUCUGGCAUCUUCAUACCAUACCUGAAUUAAGACUUUGCCUUGUUCACUGUAUCUAGGAUAAUGCUUGGUGCUUUGUAACUACUUAAU